UCAUGAUAUCAAGCUUGGCUUGGUGUUGGGCCCUUUGUCACCUGGUGACAGGUCCGAAAGACAAUGACUGGUGUAACAGACUCCAUAUGCAACGAGCUUCUAACAGCACGCAUUUGGCAGUUGUGUGGCCCGGUUUUUCACCCCUUUUUUCUCAA
rnacentral:misc_RNA from 1 species